rnacentral:rRNA from 1 species
CUACGGGGUGCAGCGGYGCGAAAACUUUACAAUGCGAGAAACCGUGAUAAGGGAAUCUCGAGUGCCAGCAUAUAAUGUUGGCUGUCCAGAUGCCUAAAAAGCAUCUGUUAGCAAGGGCCGGCAAGACCGGUGCCAGCCGCCGCGGUAACACCGGCGGCCCGAGUGGUAACCGUUUUUAUUGGGUCUAAAGGGUCUGUAGCCGGCCAUGUAAGUCCCUUGGGAAAUCUGGCAGCUCAACUGUCAGGCUGCUAGGGGAUACUGCUUGGCUUGGGACCGGGAGAGGUGAGAGGUACCUUGGGGGUAGGGGUGAAAUCUUGUGAUCCUCGAAGGACCACCAGUGGCGAAGGCGUCUCACCAGAACGGGUCCGACGGUAAGGGACGAAAGCUAGGGGCACGAACCGGAUUAGAUACCCGGGUAGUCCUAGCCGUAAACGAUGCUCGCUAGGUGUCAGUCACGGUGCGACCGUGAUUGGUGCCGUAGGGAAGCCGUGAAGCGAGCCACCUGGGAAGUACGGCCGCAAGGCUGAAACUUAAAGGAAUUGGCGGGGGAGCACUACAACGGGUGGAGCCUGCGGUUUAAUUGGAUUCAACGCCGGAAAACUCACCGGGGG